rnacentral:rRNA from 1 species
AGGGUGUGGAAAAUAGGGCUUCCCGUCCGCUCAGCCGUACUCAAGCCACACGCCGGGAGGUUAGUAGUUGGGUGGGUGACCACCAGCGAAUCCCUUCUGUUGUAUGUA